rnacentral:rRNA from 1 species
AACGAACGCUGGCGGCAUGCCUAACACAUGCAAGUCGAACGAGACCUUCGGGUCUAGUGGCGCACGGGUGCGUAACGCGUGGGAACCUGCCCUUAGGUUCGGAAUAACUCCCCGAAAGGGGUGCCAAUACCGGAUAAUGUCUUCGGACCAAAGAUUGAUCGCCUUUGGAUGGGCCCGCGUUGGAUUAGCUAGUUGGUAGGGUAAAAGCCUACCAAGGCGACGAUCCAUAGCUGGUCUGAGAGGAUGAUCAGCCACACUGGGACUGAGACACGGCCCAGACUCCUACGGGAGGCAGCAGUGGGGAAUAUUGGACAAUGGGCGAAAGCCUGAUCCAGCAAUGCCGCGUGAGUGAUGAAGGCCUUAGGGUUGUAAAGCUCUUUUACCCGGGAUGAUAAUGACAGUACCGGGAGAAUAAGCUCCGGCUAACUCCGUG